CGGGAUGAGCUCAAAUUUAAAAUCUGGCGUCUUCGGCGUCCGAGUUGUAAUUUAGAGAAGUGUUUUCCGCGCCGGACCGUGUACAAGUCUCCUGGAACGGAGCGUCAUAGAGGGUGAGAAUCCCGUCUUUGACACGGACCCCCGGUGCUCUGUGAUACGCUCUCGAAGAGUCGAGUUGUUUGGGAAUGCAGCUCAAAAUGGGUGGUGAACUCCAUCUAAAGCUAAAUAUUGGCGAGAGACCGAUAGCGAACAAGUACCGUGAGGGAAAGAUGAAAAGCACUUUGGAAAGAGAGUGAAACAGUACGUGAAAUUGUUGAAAGGGAAACGCUUGAAGUCAGUCGCGUCCGCCAGGGUUCAGCCUCACGGUGUACUCUCUGGUGGACGGGCCAGCAUCACUUUCGAUCGUCCGACAAGGGAGUUGGGAAUGUGGCACCUCCGGGUGUGUUAUAGCCCUUCUUCGUAUACGGCGACCGGGAGUGAGGACCGCCUUUGUAGGAUGCUGGCGUAAUGGCUUUAAACGACCCGUCUUGAACC
rnacentral:rRNA from 1 species